rnacentral:rRNA from 1 species
UACGUAGGGGGCAAGCGUUGUCCGGAUUUAUUGGGCGUAAAGAGCGUGUAGGCGGCCAGACAGGUCCGUUGUGAAAACUCGAGGCUCAACCUCGAGAUGUCGAUGGAAACCGUCUGGCUAGAGUCCGGAAGAGGAGUGUGGAAUUCCUGGUGUAGCGGUGAAAUGCGCAGAUAUCAGGAAGAACACCUAUGGCGAAGGCAGCACUCUGGGACGGUACUGACGCUGAGACGCGAAAGCGUGGGAGCGAACAGG